GACGAACGCUGGCGGCGCGCUUAACACAUGCAAGUCGAACGGAAAGGCCUGCUUUCCCUUGUGGAUUGCGGGUACUCGAGUGGCGAACGGGUGAGUACACGUGAGUGAUCUGCCCCCAACUUGGGUAUAAGCCUGGGAAACUGGGUCUAAUUCCCGAUAGGACUGCAGGGUGGUGCCUGUGGUGGAAAACGAUUUUCUAGUGGUUGGGGAUGAGCUCGCGGCCUAUCAGCUUGUUGGUGGGGUAAUGGCCUACCAAGGCGGCGACGGGUAGCCGGCCUGAGAGGGUGGACGGCCACAUUGGGACUGAGAUACGGCCCAGACUCCUACGGGAGGCAGCAGUGGGGAAUAUUGCACAAUGGGCGGAAGCCUGAUGCAGCGACGCCGCGUGGGGGAUGACGGCCUUCGGGUUGUAAACUCCUUUCGACCGCGAGGAAGCCACCUGGUUGGAAGGGUGGUGACGGUAGUGGUAGAAGAAGCACCGGCUAACUACGUG
rnacentral:rRNA from 1 species